rnacentral:lncRNA from 1 species
AACCUUUGCUGUCUUGGAACAGAUCACCACUGCAAGAGGGGAAGUUGCUACUGUGAUGAAUUCUGCCAUGUGGUACCAGACUGCUACCCAGACCACAGUGUCCUCUGCAACCCUCGUAACUCACAUACAGGCCUGAUUCCACCUACAGCAAAGCUGGAUGCUAUGGUUGGCAGAGGCAAACCCUUUGCCUGCACUUCAGGCCAAAGCCGGGAUGUGGCCUAGAUGGUUCCUAAGCUUCUCAGAUGACCAAGAUGGUGCUGCAGAUGGUGCUGAGGAUGGAGAACCCACCAAGCCCCGCUAGGAGCCACCUAGACUGGAUGUAGAGCAUGGCUAAAACCUUUGAAGAGGAAUUUAUUAUAUCCUACAAACCUGGGAGGCAGAGGUUGCAGUGAGCCAAGAUUGGGCCAUCGCACUCCAGCCUGGGCAAUAAGAAUGAAACUCUGUCUCAAAAAAACAAAAGUUGGCUAGGGCUGGGCGUGGUGGCUCACACCUGUAAUCCCAGCACUUUGGGAGGCUAAAGCAGGUGGAUCACCUGAGGUCAGAAGUACGAGACCAUCCUGGCUAAUAUGGUGAAACCCCAUCUCUACUAAAAAUAUGAAAAAAGAAAAAAAAA